rnacentral:lncRNA from 1 species
GUUAAUUGAAUCUGGCUUCCCCGUUGAUUUCGCUCAUCAGAAGGUUGCAACGGGAUCGUGUGACCCCGUGACAGCGAGCUUCAUAAAUAUGAACCGGUUUGCCAAACACAGCUGAAUUUUGAUCACGUGACCACGGGGAAUGCAGCAAUGGUUGUUAAGUGUGAAAAAUGGCAAUAAGAGACUUUUUUUCAGUGCCAUUGUAACUUCGUACGGUCACUAAACAAAAACCAAGCACGGCCUGAAGAGAAAUAAUUUUUUGCGAUCCCCUCUUGCAACCUUCCGAUGAGCAAAGUCAACAGGGAAGCCCAUACUCGCUUAACAACCGGGUUGUGAACUCAUCAACCGCAGUGAUUCACUUAGCAGAUGUGGCAAGAAAAGGCAUCAAAUGGGGGCAAGACUCGUUUAACAAACGUCUUGCUCAGCAACAAAAAUCUUGGGCUCAAUCCUGGUCGUAAGUAAAGGAUCACCUGUAAGGUAUAGGUAGUCCUCAACUUACAACAGUUCAUUUAGCAACCAUCAUGGUUGUAAGUCGAGGCCUAUCUAUUUUAUGAGUGUAAGCCCCCCCAGAGUUACCCUGUAGUAAGAUGAGUGGCCAAUAAAUUUUAUAUAAAAAAAUAAUAAAAGUUUUGUUCUUUCACCAGGCAAAAGCUGCGUCAUCUCACGCAAAAGGGAAGAAUCGGAUGAAGAGGAAACCCGGAAACCGGAAGAGCAUCUCUCUCGGGUCAGGCAGGCCAGAGCAGUGAAGACCGCAGGAGGCGGCCAUGUGUUGGUGAGCGAAGAGCGGGAGACUUCCCUUCGGAGUCGGAGAGCUGCCCAGCGUGUGCCUGUCAAAGAGGAGGAGGAGGAGGAGGAGGAAGAAGAAGAGGAGGAGGAGGAGGAAGAAGAGGAGGAGGAAGAGGAAGAUGUGCCCCCUU